ensembl:snRNA Rnu2-72 RNA, U2 small nuclear 72
AUCACUUCUUGCCUUUUGGCUAAGAGCAAGUGUGGUAUCUGUUCUUAUCAAAUUAAUACACAUAGAGUGCAUAAAUAUGCAUAUAGUAUCAUCUGACACCUU